CAGCAAAUACACCCCAGAAGAGGAGGCAAACACACAAAGUGAGCAAAAAGUGUAAAAAGAAAGAGAUUUUUAUUUACUCAUGUCACUAAAGCCCAGUGCAAAUGCUGUACUUAUAUUAAUAGAAAACAGCCAGAACUAUCCAGAAAGAACAGUGUAUUCUUUCCAAAUCCUUAAUCUCAUCAGUGAUUUUUUGACCUCUAUUAAUUGGUAGCCAGAUGUAAUUUAAGCAGUCCCUUUACCCCCAGGCUAAGAACCAUCAGUAAAUAACUGAAUGACCUCCCUUUCUCUCCUUCAGUUCAUGCUAUUUCAGAGAGAAUAAAGCUAUAGAAAAAUAUCCCAUUAUAUGGUAAAAAUGUUCAGAUAGGAGGGAAUGAAGGAGAUUAUUUAAUCACAGCUGGAGUGAACAAAAGUACCAGCAGGAAUCCAGAGGAUAAAUAGGGGAACAUGGCAGCAUGGAAACAUCUCUGGGAUCCCUCCUGCACAGCAGCAAGGUGUACAACGCAGCAUGCUUGGGACUUUCAUUUGUCUCCCAUGUAAUACAUUCUGUGGCACUAAUAGGGAAGCUGCUCCUCACGGAACUGCCUCGCUGGAGGAGCUUGCUUUGCUGCAGCCCUGCUCUUCCUUCGGCUGUUCCUGUGUCACUGGCAAACCAUCAGUGCCGAAUUCCUCCCCCUUCCCAGGAUAAGGAUGUUUGGGUGACUGUUAUAAUGACUUCAGGGAUCCAGUCAGACACAGACUUCUGCUCAGCUCCACAAGCUUGAAAUGCCUUCCAGAACUGGGGGCUUGGGGUAUAAGCCAGAGGUCCCUCCUGUGAGGCAACGCCCCUGCCCCCCAGACAAUGCAGAGACCCCACAAAAUCCCUGGAGCCAGCAAAGGGGGCGCAGGAACUUUCCCCAUCAUUUAUUAGGGACCUGUGGCAACGAGUUACGCAGCAAAUAUCUCACUGUUAUUUGCAGGUUGUUGCUCGAGCCCAGUCACAGUGCACACGGUGCAUGGCAUAGCCUGCGAGGCGGGUUGGGAGAACAGCCUUUCCCUGCAUGGUGAUGCCUCCUGACCCUCCUCAUCAGGUCCUGAUGGGUGAUUUUGCACUAUUGGGACCCUGGAGAUGUGAGAGUUAACCCCACAGAUGCAACAUGUGCAAGGAAACCUCCUCCAGUGCCACCCAGCUUGCUCCCUCCCUUACAAGCCCCCCCUGCUUUGCAGCAGUCUGUGAGUAGGGGGGCUUCAGCUGCCACCCUGGGCACCCCAGCUUUACCUUCACAUGUCGGGGGAGGUCCUUCGAACUGCAGGUGAGUGCCCAGUUUGCAGGUCAGGAUUUCAUUUCCAAUCAAGGUAAAGCCAGGAAGGCAUCUGUACCUCACUAUGUCACCUACAGACGGAAACAGAAAACACCUUGAUCCAAGAGAAGCAUCAAUUCAUGCAGACUGAGCCGUGCCCUGGAAAGGGGGUACCACGGGGAGCAGAGACCUCUCGGCUGCGCCUCUGCCAUCCAGCUCUGGCAUGACCAUGCAGAAAUAGAAGGCGUAGAUGCAGAAAUAAAAGGCAUAGAAAGGCACGCUGGAGUCUCAGUUGGAUUAAACUGCUGUCACACCGCUGAGACUAUUAUGAUUUGUGCAAGCUAUUUCAGGUAGAGACUUUCCUCAAAGAGAGCAGAUAGUGAGAAAAGCUGCUUUAAAAAAAAUAAAAAAAAAAAAUCACAGCUACUUUGCUGGCUGCAGACGCAGUUAAAAUGUGGAUGUAACCAUGCGCCACAGCAAAAAAAAAUAAAAUAAAAUACAAAAAGCACAGUCAAUAUGGGUGAAAAGUUCUCAAAGAAAAGAAUAACGGCCUCUAAGCUUUCACACAAAUCUUUGUUUGAAACGCCUGAAAACUAUUAUUGUGGCAAAGAUUUCAGAAUAUUUCUGAACAAGCUCGGGGCUCUCAAAAGCCAAAGCACUUCUGCUGUACUAACAGAGAGGAAGAGCCUCAGGACAAUCAGAUCAGUUUGACUCCCUGUGAAUAUCGGGUGCUGAGCAAGGUCCCGUGCAGCUCCCCAUGCGGUCACCCAUGGGAAAAGGUCUCCUGAACCCCCAGAUAUGGGGUGACAGGACCUGGGGGUCUUCCUGUGGGCACUGCCAGCAGCUGGCGAGGGGGAAUGGAGGGCUAGGAGGCCUGGGAGAGGCUACCUUUGUUAAAUUCUUUGUUCUCAGUGAUGAUUUCUACGUUGGGAACGAAGGUCGGAGGCCGAUGUCUGAAGAGCUGGUAGGCUGGAAGAGCAAAGGAAGAGUAGCAGAAGUUAGGCUGGGGGUGAAAGCAGCCACAGCCAUCUCGGUGCUAAGCACCAUGGACAUCAGUGCAAAUCCUCCCUCUCCACAAGUAGCAGGAAUCGGCAAAAGUGCAACCAGCCCUUUCCCCCUCCAAACCCUACAGAGAUGGAUCCAGGAAAAGAAGAUCCCAGCCUGCAAGACUCCUGGGGUGAAGCAAUCAGUGCCACUUCAUAAACCGCAGCAGAGCUGCACCCACUUUACAUCAGAGGUCAGAGCUCCCAGUUGCUGCUAUUUAAAAGGCAGCUGAGGGUCACAGCCAGGGCUGGUGCCUAAUGCCAUUCCAGCGCUGCCUCUGCAGCCUGGGAGAGCAGCUUGGAUGGUAGGGCUGUGCAUCUCCGAUGGCAAAAGAAAAACCAAAAGAGGACAUUGGGCAGACUAACACAGGCAGCCUCGACCUAGCACCUUCAAAGAGUGGCAAAUCCACAAAGAGAUGGGGCACUGCC